CGCACGGGUGAGUAACGCGUAUGCGACCUGCCCGUUGCAGGGGGGAUAAUCGGGAGAAAUCCCGUCUAAUACCGCGUAACGCCGCGGGGCUGCAUGGCCCUGCGGCCAAAGGGAGCGAUUCCGGCAACGGAUGGGCAUGCGUGACAUUAGCUAGUUGGCGGGGCAACGGCCCACCAGGGCGACGAUGUCUAGGGGUUCUGAGAGGAAGGUCCCCCACACUGGUACUGAGACACGGACCAGACUCCUACGGAAGGCAGCAG
rnacentral:rRNA from 1 species